AUCAAGAGCAGAUUUUGUAAAUUUUGAAGUUAAAUGUGAUUUUUGGAAUUUCACGCAAUCGCAACCAAUCCUCUAAUGUAACAAUAUAACACAUGUUUAUUUCCCAGUUUUAUAUCAGCCAUUUCAAAUAUCUUACUUCUCAGAGUACUUUCUAAUACCCACAAAGAUGCCAGAAAGGAAGGAAUUAUUUGAACGGUCAUGGUUACGGUAAUGUUUUAAUAAAUUCAACGGGA